GCUGUUCUGAGGCAUUAAACAAGAGGAUCGAACAGAUUGCAUUAAUGGAUGGAGAAACCCAGAGUCUGUUACAGAGAGACCCUCUCUCCUUUAUUCAGAACUCGAGGCAGCUUCUUUCCAGAGUGACUACGACUCAGAAAGUCACAUAGCCAGAUGUUCCAAUGAUUACCCUGAAUAUGUCCAAUAUAUCUCAACACCUCCAGAAGG